UGGGGAAUAUUGGACAAUGGGCGAAAGCCUGAUCCAGCCAUGCCGCGUGUGUGAAGAAGGUCUUCGGAUUGUAAAGCACUUUAAGUUGGGAGGAAGGGCAGUAAGCGAAUACCUUGCUGUUUUUACGUUACCGACAGAAUAAGCACCGGCUAACUCUGUGCCAGCAGCCGCGGUAAUACAGAGGGUGCAAGCGUUAAUCGGAAUUACUGGGCGUAAAGCGCGCGUAGGUGGUUCGUUAAGUUGAAUGUGAAAGCCCCGGGCUCAACCGGGGAACUGCAUCCAAAACUGGCGAGCUAGAGUAGGGCAGAGGGUGGUGGAAUUUCCUGUGUAGCGGUGAAAUGCGUAGAUAUAGGAAGGAACACCAGUGGCGAAGGCGACCACCUGGGCUCAUACUGACACUGAGGUGCGAAAGCGUGGGGAGCAAACAGG
rnacentral:rRNA from 1 species